AGGCAGUGAUGAUUAAC
rnacentral:sRNA from 1 species